GUAUACAAUCUACCUUAUACAGGAGGAUAGCCCUAAGAAAUUGGGAUUAAUACUCCAUAGUAUUCAUUAGACACAUGUUUGAUGGAUUAAAACUUCGGUGGUAUAAGAUGAGUAUGCGUCCUAUUAGCUAGAUGGUAAGGUAACGGCUUACCAUGGCAACGAUAGGUAGGGGGCCUGAGAGGGUUAUCCCCCACACUGGUACUGAGACACGGACCAGACUCCUACGGGAGGCAGCAGUGAGGAAUAUUGGUCAAUGGAGGCAACUCUGAACCAGCCAUGCCGCGUGAAGGAAGAAUGUCCUAUGGAUUGUAAACUUCUUUUAUUUGGGAAGAAACCUAUCUACGUGUAGAUAGCUGACGGUACCAAACGAAUAAGGACCGGCUAACUCCGUGCCAGCAGCCGCGGUAAUACGGAGGGUCCAAGCGUUAUCCGGAA
rnacentral:rRNA from 1 species